rnacentral:rRNA from 1 species
UGGGGGAUAUUGCACAAUGGGCGAAAGCCUGAUGCAGCGACGCCGCGUGGGGGAUGAAGGCUUUCGGGUUGUAAACCUCUUUCGCUAUCGAACAAGGCCCGCUUAGGGUGGGUUGAGGGUAGGUGGAGAAGAAGCGCCGGCUAACUACGUGCCAGCAGCCGCGGUAAUACGUAGGGCGCGAGCGUUGUCCGGAAUUAUUGGGCGUAAAGGGCUUGUAGGCGGCUUGUUGCGCCUGCUGUGAAAACGCGGGGCUUAACUUCGCGCGUGCAGUGGGUACGGGCAGGCGUGAGUGUGGUAGGGGUGACUGGAAUUCCAGGUGUAGCGGUGGAAUGCGGAGAUAUCUGGAGGAACACCGAUGGCGAAGGCAGGUCACUGGGCCAUUACUGACGCUGAGGAGCGAAAGCAUGGGUAGCGAACAGG